rnacentral:rRNA from 1 species
GAUGAACGCUGGCGGCGUGCCUAAUACAUGCAAGUCGAGCGAACAGACGAGGAGCUUGCUCCUCUGACGUUAGCGGCGGACGGGUGAGUAACACGUGGAUAACCUACCUAUAAGACUGGGAUAACUUCGGGAAACCGGAGCUAAUACCGGAUAAUAUAUUGAACCGCAUGGUUCAAUAGUGAAAGACGGUUGUGCUGUCAAUUAUAGAUGGAUCCGCGCCGCAUGAGCUAGUUGGUAAGGUAACGGCUUACCAAGGCAACGAUGCGUAGCCGACCUGAGAGGGUGAUCGGCCACACUGGAACUGAGACACGGUCCAGACUCCUACGGGAGGCAGCAGUAGGGAAUCCUCCGCAAUGGGCGAAAGCCUGACGGAGCAACGCCGCGUGAGUGAUGAAGGUCUUCGGAUCGUAAAACUCUGUUAUUAGGGAAGAACAAAUGUGUAAGUAACUAUGCACGUCUUGACGGUACCUAAUCAGAAAGCCACGGCUAACUACGUG